GGAAACACUUGUCGCACGCACUGUAACACACUCUGACUGUCUUGCGUUUACUGCAGUAUACAGUCUAAUAUUUAAACUUCUCAUGUUUCAGGUUCCUCUGGUGGACCUGUAUCGUCCUGGAUCGCAAGUCUGAUGAACGGGUAGCGAAGAACGAAGAUUGGUCUGGGCCACCUGCUGCACCACCACCACCACCACCACCAGCAGCAGCAGCAGCAGCCGAGGAGGGUGCUGCAAGAGAGAUGUCCGUGGACAGCCUGAGCCUUGUCGCUGUGCACUCAGGCAUGUCAGAUAUACAGGAAUUUGUUUUGCCCGAUGCGGAGCCAGCAUUCUGCUCGCUGGAGGUUGAGCAUGAGAAGUAGACUGUCUUCUCAAGCAUGUUAGCCGGGAGUGUGCCAAUUUUGGCCCCAAUG